rnacentral:rRNA from 1 species
GAUACGACCGUACCGCAAACCGACACUGGUGCGCGAGAUGAGUAUUCUAAGGCGCUUGAGAGAACUCAGGAGAAGGAACUCGGCAAAUUGACACCGUAACUUCGGAAGAAGGUGUGCCCUAUUAGUGUGUAGUGAACAACGAAGCAUGAAUGGGUUGCAAAAAAUCGGUGGCUGCGACUGUUUAUUAAAAACACAGCACUCUGCAAACACGAAAGUGGACGUAUAGGGUGUGACGCCUGCCCGGUGCUGGAAGAUUAAAUGAUGGGGUGCAAGCUCUUGAUUGAAGUCCCAGUAAACGGCGGCCGUAACUAUAACGGUCCUAAGGUAGCGAAAUUCCUUGUCGGGUAAGUUCCGACCUGCACGAAUGGCGUAACGAUGGCCACACUGUCUCCUCCUGAGACUCAGCGAAGUUGAAAUGUUUGUGAUGAUGCAAUCUCCCCGCGGAAAGACGGAAAGACCCCAUGAACCUUUACUGUAGCUUUGUAUUGGACUUUGAACAGAUCUGUGUAGGAUAGGUGGGAGGCUUUGAAGCAGGGUCGCUAGAUCUUGUGGAGCCAACGUUGAAAUACCACCCUGGUGUGUUUGAGGUUCUAACCUAGGUCCAUUAUCUGGAUCGGGGACAGUGCAUGGUAGGCAGUUUGACUGGGGCGGUCUCCUCCCAAAGCGUAACGGAGGAGUUCGAAGGUACGCUAGUUACGGUCGGACAUCGUGACGAUAGUGCAAUGGCAUAAGCGUGCUUAACUGCGAGACUGACAAGUCGAGCAGAUGCGAAAGCAGGACAUAGUGAUCCGGUGGUUCUGUAUGGAAGGGCCAUCGCUCAACGGAUAAAAGGUACUCUGGGGAUAACAGGCUGAUACCGCCCAAGAGUUCAUAUCGACGGCGGUGUUUGGCACCUCGAUGUCGGCUCAUCUCAUCCUGGGGCUGUAGCCGGUCCCAAGGGUAUGGCUGUUCGCCAUUUAAAGAGGUACGUGAGCUGGGUUUAAAACGUCGUGAGACAGUUUGGUCCCUAUCUUCCGUGGGCGCUGCAGAUUUGAGGAAGCCUGCUCCUAGUACGAGAGGACCGGAGUGGACACACCUCUGGUGUAUCGGUUGUCACGCCAGUGGCAUUGCCGAGUAGCUAAGCGUGGAAGAGAUAACCGCUGAAAGCAUCUAAGCGGGAAACUCGUUUCAAGAUGAGAUCUGCCGGGGCCUUGAGCCCCCUAAAGAGUCGUUCAAGACCAGGACGUUGAUAGGUCAGGUGUGGAAGUG